AUACGAGGGGUGCAAGUGUUGUUCGGAAUUACUGGGCGUAAAGGGAGCGUAGGCGGAAAGUCAUGUCAGAUGUUUAAUUUCGGGGCCCAACCCCGAGCUUGCGUUUGAAACGGGCUUUCUUGAAUAUAACAGAGGUGAAUGGAAUUCCCGGUGUAGCGGUGGAAUGCGUAGAUAUCGGGAGGAACACCAGUUGCGAAGGCGGCCACCUGGCCCGGUACUGACGCUGAGGUGCGAAAGCGUGGGGAGCAAACAGGAUUAGAAACCCCAGUAGUCC
rnacentral:rRNA from 1 species